AAACAAAACAAAACACCAAACCAGGAUUGGAUGCUAAUCAUUGCCAUGGUGAUGCGGUGUGGGAGCAUCAACAAAAACAGCUGCUGACUCAAAAAACAAAACAAAACAUCACCUGGGGUCUAAUGGAGGUUUUUACAGGUUAGUUCACAGCGUGAAACGGUUAAACACGUGAUUAACAGGCGGCCGCUUUGUCGUCUAGACUGUGUUGACCUCCAGAUUUCAAAAUCCGACACCUGAGGCCCAACCUCGAGGUAAUUACAGCAGCAGGAGAUGAUGCAAGGAGUGAUGAGGAGAUGAGUCAGUGAGGUGUUUUUAAAAUAGAGAGAUGCCUCUGUGGAUCUAUUCCGUAUCCUGGACUGAGAGGUGUAAACAGCAGGGAUCAGCUUUCAUCAGAACCCGACAGGUUAACGGAACUCCACUUUCUGGGAAAGGGAAGCCCGCCCAAACCACAAGACAGACCAGGUCCAGACCUCAGAGCUUUUUACGGGGCUUAUUUUGCUCUUUUACAGCACCAGCCAUCUGGCUUCAAACAUGCAGCCUGCUCCUGUUGGGCAGCAGUUAAAUCGCUUUUUCUCGCUGCAAACACACCACUGAUGUCUGACAGCGGGCUGUUCUAACGGCCUCGACAAGUCAGAUUCAAUCAAUCAGCGUUUUAAUGUGAAACCACACUUGCACCAGACUACAAGUACCUCAAAACUGCUGCAACUUGUCAGAAUUUUGGUUUUAAACAUACAAAAAUUGAGAAAACUGUCUCGACUAUCGAGCCCCUGGCCAGUGUGUACCUCAAGACGUGACAGUCUGAUGGUAAACAACACCAACACUGAUCUUGUGCUCCACACUCAGCUAAUGCGGCCACUACCUGCACUGCUAAUCGAGCUAACUGGCUGAUGGCAGCUAUAGUUGCAGUCAGCAGUCACUCUGGUGUUACGCUGUCCCCUAUUUGUUUUGAAUAAGAAGUGUACAGGUGGCUAAGUCUUACAUAUUGUACCUUUAAGGGGCAGAACUCAUAAAGGAAAGCUGAGUGUUUCAUGUUCAGCGAGAGGGACGACUGGCAACCUAACUCCUCUACAUCCAGAUGUAGCAGCUGUUCAGCCCCAGAGGACAGAUGUUAUCUGAAACCAUGUUUCAUGAUGAGAAGAAGUCAAACUCACCCUCUGACAGAUGAAACUCCACCACACACUGUCUGAGCUCCAGCUACUGUGAGACUGCAGAGCAACAAUCCACCGUUCAUUGAUUCACACUGCGACUGAACACAGAUCAGUUCCUGCUGCUGCGUUUCAGCUCCUCAUCUCACAAACCAGCCUCAAGUCCUCAUUCUGUGACCCUGAGAGAAGCAGGACCUCCAGUGGACAUGAUGUGUAACUGCUGCUGAUCACUCAAACCAUCAGCUCAUGUCGCUUUUUAAUAAUAUAUAUAGUAAGGUUUGUGUCACAGGAAGUAUUUAUACUUUUAGAGAUAAAGACUCUUCAAAAAGACAUUUUAUUAAAUGCAAUGUAAGAAAUACAAAUAUAAAAAGUAGUUACCUUCCACUCAGAAAACAUAAAGCUUUUUCCCCACACAUAUAAAAUCCUGAGUUUUAAGAUUGUCAGUCAAUCUUUGGUUCACAAAACAUUUUGGUAAAUUUUCCAUUUCUAAUCUAAUGAUAAGCACAUUUGAUGUGCCCACAAUUGGAAUCUUAAGCCAUAAUUUAUCUCAUUAGAGAUAAAACAACAACAUAAACAUUGAUUUUCCAGACGAGUUAUUCACAAGUUAUUAAUAGUUUGAUCAUUAUUUACAUUCAUUUCUCAUUUCUCGACAGA